AAGACAAGGAAUGUAGAGAAGAG
rnacentral:piRNA from 1 species